rnacentral:rRNA from 1 species
ACGAACGCUGGCGGCGUGCUUAACACAUGCAAGUCGAACGGUGAAGCGCCUUCCUUUUUGGUGGGUGUGGAUGAGUGGCGAACGGGUGAGUAACACGUGAGUAACCUGCCCCCUUCUUCUGGAUAACCGCAUGAAAGUGUGGCUAAUACGGGAUAUUCUGGGUCUGUCGCAUGAUGGGUCUGGGAAAGAUAUUGUUUCGGUGGGGGAUGGGCUCGCGGCCUAUCAGCUUGUUGGUGGGGUGAUGGCCUACCAAGGCGGUGACGGGUAGCCGGCCUGAGAGGGUGGACGGUCACACUGGGACUGAGACACGGCCCAGACUCCUACGGGAGGCAGCAGGGGGGAAUAGUGCACAAUGGGCGCAAGCCUGAUGCAGCGACGCCGCGUGAGGGAUGGAGGCCGUCGGGUUGUGAACCUCUUUCGCCAGUGAAGCAGGCCUGCCUCGUUUGUGGGUGGGUUGACGGUAGCUGGAUAAGAAGCGCCGGCUAACUACGUG